UACGUAGGGUGCAAGCGUUGUCCGGAAUUAUUGGGCGGAAAGAGCUCGUAGGCGGUUUGUCACGUCGGAUGUGAAACCCCGGGGCUCAACCCCGGGCCUGCAUUCGAUACGGGCAGACUAGAGUUCGGCAGGGGAGACUGGAAUUCCUGGUGUAGCGGUGUAAUGCGCAGAUAUCAGGAGGAACACCGGUGGCGAAGGCGGGUCUCUGGGCCGAUACUGACGCUGAGGAGCGAAAGCGUGGGGAGCAAACAGG
rnacentral:rRNA from 1 species